UACAGAGGUCCCAAGCGUUGUUCGGAUUCACUGGGCGUAAAGGGUGCGUAGGCGGUUCGGGUAAGUCUGAUGUGAAUACUCCACAGCUUGAACUGUGAAACUGCAAUUGGAUACUAUUCGGCUUGAGAGUUGGGAGGGGGGACUUGGAAUUCUUGGUGUAGCAGUGAAAUGCGUAGAUAUCAAGAGGAACCACCGACGGCGCAGGCAGCGUCCUGGCCGCUUGCUGACGACUGAGGCACGAAAGCUGGGGGAGCAAACAGG
rnacentral:rRNA from 1 species